CCGUUUUCAAGGCUUUCAGAUUUCCAUCGUCGCCGAUCUUGAGGUUCAGCCUCGUUCUCACACCGUGCGAGAAGAACUGUCAGCCUGUUUACUGCGGUAAUGGUGUAUCUUCUCUGGGUCGAACGAAGCGUGCAACUCUUCAGAUGCAAGAAAUCCCUCUACAGCUCUCGAUCAUUGUUAGACCUCUCGAUAUCAACGAGACAACAAACACGACGGACACAUCUCGACAACUUCACUCAGAUGAUACCGAAAUUUGCGCCACUUGGGGCAUGAUGGUUGCUAUUGGGGCUAUUUGGCUCGGCGUUCAAUUUUACUACUGGCAGUCUGCUGCUGCUGGGCGUCACGAAUCAGGCGAGAGAAAAAAUACAACGACACUGUAA
rnacentral:lncRNA from 1 species